UGGGGAAUAUUGCACAAUGGACGGAAGUUUGAUGCAGCGACGCCGCGUGGAGGGUGUAGGCCUUCGGGUUGUGAACUCCUUUUUCUCGCGAAAAAGGCACAGUUUUGGCUGUGUUGAUGGUAGUGGGGGAAGAAGCGCCGGCUAACUACGUGCCAGCAGCCGCGGUAAUACGGAGGGUGCAAGCGUUAAUCGGAAUUACUGGGCGUAAAGCGCACGCAGGCGGUUUGUUAAGUCAGAUGUGAAAUCCCCGGGCUCAACCUGGGAACUGCAUCUGAUACUGGCAAGCUUGAGUCUCGUAGAGGGGGGUAGAAUUCCAGGUGUAGCGGUGAAAUGCGUAGAGAUCUGGAGGAAUACCGGUGGCGAAGGCGGCCCCCUGGACGAAGACUGACGCUCAGGUGCGAAAGCGUGGGGAGCAAACAGG
rnacentral:rRNA from 1 species